CAUGUGGCUGGAGUGUGUCAGCAGUUCCUGCAAGACGAAGGCAUUGAUGCUAUGGACUGGCCCGCCCGUUCCCAGACCUGAAUCCAAUUGAGCACAUCUGGGACAUCAUGUCUGGCUCCAUCCUCCAACGUCACGUUGCACCACAGACGGUCUGGGAGGAGAUCCCUCAGGAGACCAUCUGCCACCUCAUCAGGAGAAUGCAC